UACCUAUGUACAACACAAUGUAGACAAACCUCCCUAGCUUGUUUCUAUUAUUGUCCUCUGACUUGUUCCUCGUUAAUUCAAUGUUCUUCUUUUCCAGAAAACUAUCUGUGGCACUGCAUCACCAUACCCUUUCUCCCUGUACUUCCUCUGAAUCACCUCAUAAUCAGUCUCCCAUCCCCUUGGAACUUGAUUCCUUCCAUAUCCUCCAUAGCCUCCAUAGCCUCCAUAGCCAAAAGCCUGAUUGAAUCUUGUUAUUCCCAACCCCAACCCAAUUUUGUUCUUCCCAAUCUCCAACGAAAUCCUCUCAAAUAUCGAAUCCCUCUUAGAAAUGGAACCCAAAGAAUUUGGCGACGGCAAAUUGGUAUAUGAGAUCGUCGUUCACGUCAACUCAAAGCCUGAACAAGUCUCAAUACAAGCUUACCAGCUUUGAAAGAAUCAAAGCAAACCUCAAACGACGUCAUCUUCUGCUCAUCAUCUUCUAUUUGGAAACCAAGCCCUGUUUGUCGAUCUUCUAGAGCCUGAUGUGGCAAAAUGGGAAAAAAAGCCUGAAAAACCGGCAAGACCGGCCGGGUUUAUGCCAGUCCGGGCUUUUGCCGGUCUUAGAAA